GGUGCUGGUCUGUGCAGCCCAGCACAGCAGCCAGAGUAAUGGAAGUGCAUCCAGCUGAAUUUCCAAGGUCUUCCAUGCAAUAUGGCUAAUUAACCCUGCCAGUUCCACUGGCUGGUCUUUACACAGGUUCCUGCCUCUACUUCAGUCAGGGCCAACUGGGUGGGUUGGCCACAGCAGCAGUACAAACAUGUUUUGCAUUGCAAAAGAGUGGACAGAAGUCUCACUGAAGGAAUAAAAAACCCCAGCAUAAUCCUCAACAACAAAAAGCCCUCCAGAAAAAUUGACUGAAUAAUAUCUGUGCUGUACCCGGCUACUUAUAAGGAAAAAGGCUUCCCGAAACAUCCAGAGAUAUGACCACAGUUCCAUUGGCUCUACAAGUUGGGAUAAUUGGAAUGACACUGUUCAUGAAUGGCCACCACAUAGUAAGCAGA